GCGAGUUCUAAACUCCAACCCUCGAGGACAUACCUAUCGUUGCUUCGGCGGGGCCCCCUCGCAGGGGGGCAGCAGGGCCCGCCCCUGCGCCCGCCGGUGGCACGCCAACCAAAACCUGAAUCACAGUCGCAUUCUGAGUGGACUACAAAUAAGUCA
rnacentral:misc_RNA from 1 species